UUCACCAUGUUGACCAGGCUGGUCUUGAAUUCCUGAUCUCAGGUGAUCCGCCCGCCUCAGUCUCCCAAAGUGCUGGGAUUACAGGAGUGAGCCACCGUGCCUGGCAUUUUGCUCUGUUUUACCAAAAACAAACACAAAGAAAGAACAACAACAGAAAAAUUCUUAAAUACAUUGAUAGGCUGGAGAAUUUUAAUCUUUUUCACUUAUUUAAAUCCAAGUACAUUUUAUAACUUCUUUAUACUAGCUGUCAACAUGUUGGGCAAUCUGUCUAAGUAGGGAUGAAUGACUCUUAAAAAAUCCUGGAGAGUUUCCCUUGAAGCCAAGCAUGGGGUUGUUUAAAUAAACUUCUUGUUUAAAAUGAAAAACAAAAAAUAAAUAUAAAAAUAAAAACAUGGUCAACUUUCUUUAGCUGCCAAGUGUCUCCGUUGGCCUGAAGAUGACGAAGGGGGGAUUUUGUUGUGUAGAAAGUUCUAAAUCUUCCCAGGAGUCCAUGAACCUCUUGUGCCUCAGGUGAGCAAGAGUAGUCUCCCCACGCCCACCUCUGUAAGGUGCCUGUGGUGAGAUUUCCAAGUCCACCCUGGGGCCAGAACCGGUCCAUCCUGGCCCAGGAGGUGCGUGGAGUGUGGGUGUGGGUGGGUGUCUGUCCCAUACCCUGGCAAAUGUCCCUAGCCCCAAACUUCAGCUUUGCCAUGGGGACCAAAGUUAAAAGUCCAACCAGCAUGGAAAGUUGGAACUCCACAGAGCCUAUGAGGUAAAGGUGAACUUAAAGAAAUAGAAAAAACCUUCUCCAUCUCCGCAUAGUCAAAUACUACAAAAGAAGAUGUUUUGAUAGAAGCAAAAGGAAAACAAAAAGCCAAACCCUCUCUGAAAACUUGGAACUAUCCAAGUUUUGGAUAUACUUGGAGCCCUUGAGAUUUGCAAACCAAAUUGCCAUAACCUAUGUGGUCCAAAAACCCUCAAGUGAUGAUUAGUUUAAAAUGGUCCCAAACAGGUCCUUGAACUAGAAACUUGGCAAAAACAAACACAUUCUCUCUGGGGAAAGCUACCCACCUUCAUAGCAGGCCUCCAAGUAUUGACCAAGAUAACUUUUUCAAGGGCAGUGAUUUACUUAUAGUCAAAAUUAAGUAAGCACACAAGGAAAAACCAAGCAUACUGAGAACUAGCAAGAAUUAAAAGCAAAACAAAGACUUCAGAAAUUAACAUUAUUAGACAUAUUAAUUGUGCUUACUAUGUUGCAAGAAAUAAAAGGCAAGCUUAAACAUAUCUUCAGGAAAUAGGCAAUCAAAAGACAGAACGAAUUUGAGAAAGAAAGAAAAUUUCUAGAAAUAAAAAAAAAAAAAACAUAACUAGGCAGGGAGCAGUGGCUCAUGCCUGUAAUCCCAGCACUUUGGGAGGCUGAAUGGGGAGAAUCACAAGGUCAGGAGUAAGAGACCAGCCUGGCCAAUAUGGUGAAAGCCUAUCUCUACUAAAAACACAAAAAAAUUAGCCAGGCAUGGUGGCGCAUGCCUGUAAUCCCAGCUACUCAGGAGGCUGAGGCAGGAGAAUUGCUUGAACCUGGGAGGUUGAGGUUGCAGUGAGUCAAGAUUGCGCCACUGUACUCCAGCCUGGGCUACAGAGCAAGACUCCAUCUCAAAAAAAAAAAAAAAAAAAAAAAAAAACCUAAAAAUUUAAACCAGACACAGCUGAAAAGAGAAAGGUAAUUGGAAGAUCAUAAAAAAUCACUCAGAAUGUACUACAGAGAGACAAAAGGUGAAAAAUAUGAAAAAGAAGCCAAGUGAAAGAACAAUUAACAGAAUUUUCCAGAAUGAAGAAAGACACCAAUUCACAAAUUCAGAAGCUUAUAAAUUCGAUUAAAUAAAAACAAAUUUACCCUACACACACAGUGAAUCUACAGAAUACCGAAGGCAAAGAAACCUUAAAAUGUGCUAGAAAAAAAAGAGAUUGCAUUCAAAGUAGUGUCAGACAACAACUGAGUCAGAAGCCAGUAGAAUGAUAUAUUCAAUAAACAAAGAAAAAUAAUUGCUAACUUAGAAUUUUAUAUCCAGUGAAAAUAUUUCUUUAAAAAAGAGAGUAAGAUCAGGACAUUUCAGAAUAGCAAAAACAGAGUUGCCAUCUGCAAAAUAAGGAGAUUCAGGAUAUAUUCUUCAUGUGGAAGGAAAAUGAUCCCAGAUGGAAGGGAAGAGAGGCAAAAGGGAAUGAGGAACAAAGUGGUAAGUACAUGGGUAAAUCUGAAUGAGAAUUGAGUGCAUAAAACAAUGUCUUGUGGAGUUUUAAAAAGUGAACAAUGAAAAUAACAUACCAUGACAAUAUAUAAGCAGGAAAAGGAAUCAAUAGAGUUAAUGCAUUCUACAUUCCUUGGGAAAAGGAUAGUUACUGAUUAAUUUUGGGUUUCAAUAAGUAUGCACUUUGUAAUUUCUAGGGUAUACAUUAAGAGAAUUGAAAAUUUUCAAACUAUGAGAGGAAAAAAUAAACUGGAGCUACAAGAAAUGACCAGCCAAAAGAAGGCAGGAAAAGAAAAUAAAUGAAACACAGAACAGGUGGGAUAAAUAGCUCAAAAUAGGACUGCAAUUUAAUCUGAAAUGUCAGUAAAUACAUGCAAACAGACUAAGUGCUCCAAUUAAAAGAUUGUCAGGAUUUAAAAAAUCAACUAUAUGAAGUUUAUAAGAGAUAUAUAUCAAACAAGUAUACAGGAAGGUUAAAAGUAAAAGGAUGGAAAAAAUACAUACCAUGCAAAUGAGAGAAAGCUGGUCAGAUAGCCUUAAUGUCAGAGAAGACAGAUAUUAAGUCAAAAGCAUUAUUAAAAAGAUAGAUUAUUCAUAAUGAUAAUGUUCAAUUCAUCAGUAAGUUAUAACAGUUGUAAAUUUGUGAUCACCUAAUAACAUGGUAUCAAAUUAUGUGAAGCAAAAAUUAAUAGAAGUGGACAAAUUCACCAUAUUAGAUUUUUAAGUACGAAGUAAUUAAUAGAGCCAGCAGAAAAAAAUAAGGGAAGUUAUCAAAGAGUUAAACAAUGUCAUUAAUAAACUUGACCUAACUUCACCCAGUGAUUGCAGAAUGCACAUUCUUUCCAAACACACACAGGGCAUUUAUAAAAAGGAACAUAUACUGGGCUAUAAAGCAAGUAUUGAUAAUUGCUAAAGGAUUAAAAUCAUGCACAACAUGUUCUCUGAACACAGUGCAAUUAAUCUAGAAAUCAAUAACAAAAUGAUGCCUAGAGAUAUAGAGUUAAGGAGUUGGGUAUGCAAGCCUGAGCUUGAGGUGAAAAUCUAGGCAUCCUAUGGCUUAUGAAUGGAAAAAUUUGGAAUUCAACCUGAGUCUCCUUCACAUCCAUUUGGUGGGAUACCAUAAAGCCUUUCCUGUCCAUAGCAUCCUUCUGCAUUGACAUUUUAAAAUAUAUAUAAAAUACAUAAAAUAAUACUAAAAUGGCCUAUGACUAGAUUAUUGAAUAAUCAGACAAUUCAAUCAUCUCUUCCCUUAGAGUUAAUAUUCUUAACACUUUAUGGUUGUAGGCUGUAAUUUCACAUUCUCUUAAAAUAAGCCUUUUUCUUUUACUAAGAUUUAUUAGUGGAAGCCUAUCCAAGAUUUAGUUUGGAUAACCCAGGGUCAAGUCCUUACAUAGGCCUCGAGAGCUAUAAAAAAACAGAUGCAGAAUCUGGAGUCUUGUGAAAUAUUCCAGACCGGCUUCUUGACUUAUAGUGGGCAAAAUUGCACGUCAGUAUUUUAAUCAAAUAAAGCACUCAUUUCCUCUGACAUUAAAUGCAGUCUGGAUUUUCUGUUUCUCAGGUGGAUAUUUUAUAUAGUUAUGAAGGCUAUUUUUGAAGAAUUAAUUUUCCUCACAUUUAAACUUGUUUUCUUAUUAGAGAUACAACCUAACCAGCUACCCAGUUCUUUGUGCCAUGAAACUCCUUCAGAAUGUCUGGUUUAUUGUACUGAGAGUGACUAUUGCAUCUAAAUCACUUCUCCAAAGUUACCAGGAGAGGACUCUAAGGUCACACCAGCCCCAGAUGGUCUUGACAAAUGUGAACAGCAUGAAAAGCAGGAAAUGCAGGAAAACAAGACAGAGGAAAUGGUAGAUCCAUUUGUAUCUUUUAAGGAGACAUGGUGAAAAAAAAUCCAUGAUAAGCUGUAAACCUGAAGACGAAUCAUGAAAAAAUAAUUGCCAUGAAACUGUAGUAAAUUCCCAGGUGUGUGGGGAAGAGAUACUCCAUGUUUUAGAAGAUGAGUUACACUCAAGUCCCAAGAAGGAAGAUCUGAGUGGUAGAUGUUUCCAUUUUUAUGUUACUAAUGAUGAAACUAAGGCCCAGAGAAGUAAAGGAGCUUGCCUAAGAUGCUCUGAAAAUAUGUGGGAGAAACCACCAAACCGUUAUUAUAAUAAAUGAUCAUAAAUGAUGGAAUAAAGAAAAACCCAUAAGAGAGGAAAAUAAACCCCAGGACACUGUGAAAGGCCUGGCAAAUGCAACCUACAAUCCAUUUUGUGAUAUUGAUGAACUAUAACAUUGACUUACCCUGUUUUUGUCACCAAAGGAAGCCACUGAGCCACGGUUAUGAGAUUUCUUCUUGGACAUUUGAAAGUGAGAUUUUCCAAAUUCUUAUUUUUCAGAAGUUGAUGAAUUUCAGCCCUAGGCAGGAUUUUUAUAAAACAAAUUUAAGGGAGAAUAUAUUUUAGAUAAUUUAUUUGUGCUGCGAUUUAUCACCUGUUGGUUGAAGAUUGGUGUUUCAGGUGAUGCUGUUGUAAGUAGUACUGCAAACACUUUCUGCUUUUAAGUGUGUACAGCUCUCAAAAUCUGAAUUACAUGGUAUACUGCUUUUGUAAAGUGUAUGUUUUCAAUGGUAUAAAGGACUUUUAAAGUUUAUUUUGAUAUUUUAAAUCAUCAAUCACCUGUACAUAGAAUUUGUUGUUUUUCACCUUUUCUACGUUGUUACAAAUGUAUCCCAGUCACUAGGCCAUAGUUGUCUAGGUUUUCACAAAGGUGUUUCUUUUCUCCAUGUCUUUUCCAAAAGACUUUCCAAGCUCUAGGAUUCAAGGCAGACCUCUCGUACCUCUUACAUCUUACUUAAAUCUAAUUUGGGCUUCAGGGAAAACACUGAAGACACAACCAGUACCUGAAACUUUUUUAGUCUUAGUGUUUUGAUUUAUCCUUGGUCACUUCCCCUAGCCUAUGAAGGGAAUUUCUGAUUGAGUUCUGCAUCUCUGAUUUUUAAAAUUUUGAUCAUAAUUCAUUUUUCCUGAGAAAGCGUUUUUAUAUUUUAGGAGUAUAAACCUAAGAAUUCACAAUGGUAUUUUUUCUUAUAGGAAUGCAUGAGAUGAUUUGCCUUUCUAAAAGUAAAUGUAAAACCUAUAAACUAUGUGAUUAUGCUUUCCCAAGUUUCUAGGAAUCAACCCAAGUGCAAUUAUUAUAAACAUGUAAGAAAUCAUGUCUACCAUUGAAAAUAUAAAAUUUAAAAAUAUAUAUUUGUUCAUAACAGAACCUAUAAUCAGCAACUUCUUUGUUUUCCUUGUCUUACUGUUCCUUCUUAUAAUUGUUGACAGACACGCAUUGUAAAAAGAAUGGAAGUUCAGUAUUUGUGGGAAAGAAUUUCAGAGUUAUUUCUAGUAAUUCCCUUGCUCCCUUAAUGAGCCGGUAUGAGAUUUUUUUUAAUGUGUAGAAGACUUUAUUUUGUUAACACUUGCUCUAAUCCAGCUUCAUAAAGUGGAAGUUUUCUCUCUCCACUGAUGCUAUGGGAAAUCUGAGAAUUCAGGCCCUAUCCAUUGCUGUUGGUCCAUCCCCCUGAAAAUGAUCUUUAGCUUUUGGUCUGCUAGAGAAAAAUAAUGAUUUUUAUGGCUCCAAAGUGUCUUUUUAAAAUAGAGAUUUUUUUGAUAUCUUUCAACUCACCUUUUAUGUUUUCUGAUAAUAAUAAAAUAAUCCUGUGCGUAAAUGCCCUUUUAUACAGAUGUGUGACAAGUAGUUGAAUAGACAGAACUUCUAGUUGAAUAAAUAAUUUUGUACUUUUUUAAAAUUAAGAAUUACUCUUUUUUUUUGAGACAGAGUCUGGCUCUGUGCCCAGGCUGGAGUGCAAUGGUGCUGUCUUGGCUCAUUGCAACCUUGACCUCCCAGGUUCAAGCGAUUCUCCUGCCUCAGCCUCCCGAGGAGCUGGGACUACAGGCGUGCGCCACCGUGCCCAGCUAAUUUUUUUUUUUUUUUGUAUUUUUAGUAGAGACGGGGUUUCACCAUUUUGGCUAGGAUGGUUUCUACUCUUGACCUCAUGAUCCACCUGCCUCAGCCUCCCAAAGUGCAUUACAGGCGUGAGCCACUGCACCUGGCCCAAGAAUUACUUUUUAAAUGAAAAUCCACAGAUUCUUGUUUUAUAUUUUUGGAUUUUCAGAUCUUGAUAUCUUUUCAAGAAGGGCAUAGUCUUGAUAAAUAAUAUUCAAAAAUAUAUUAACAUAAAUACUAUGUAUGUUCCUGUAAUUUCAGAGCUUCACUAUGUAUGCCCAUAUAUGUAUAUGUGUAUAUAUGUGUGCCUGUGUGUGCGUGUGUUUCUGGUACAAAUUGAUUUAAUAAACUAUUUGAAGAAAAAACUA